rnacentral:rRNA from 1 species
GACGAACGCUGGCGGCGUGCUUAACACAUGCAAGUCGAACGGAAAGGCCCUGCUUGCCGGGUACUCGAGUGGCGAGCGGGUGAGUAACACGUGGGUGAUCUGCCCUGCACUUCGGGAUAAGCCUGGGAAACUGGGUCUAAUACCGGAUAGGAGCCAUUUUUAGUGUGAUGGUUGGAAAGUUUUUUCGGUGUAGGAUGAGCUCGCGGCCUAUCAGCUUGUUGGUGGGGUAAUGGCCUACCAAGGCGGCGACGGGUAGCCGGCCUGAGAGGGUGGACGGCCACAUUGGGACUGAGAGACGGCCCAGACGCCUACGGGAGGCAGCAGUGGGGAAUAUUGCACAAUGGGCGCAAGCCUGAUGCAGCGACGCCGCGGGGGGGAGGACGGCCUUCGGGUUGUAAACGCCGUUCGCUAGGGACGAAGCUUUUUGUGACGGUACCUAGAGAAGAAGCACCGGCUAACUACGUG